AUGGCUCAUCGAGUUCUCAGUCGAUAUCCGCAGAACGAUGGUACAUCAUUCGCAGAAAGUGGUGCAAAGGUUCGAGUACUGCUCGUGAAUGGACUUUGAAGGCUACGUGCGACAAAAACCCGUGCUCAAACCGGCAGGAGAUCAUAGAAUACCGUGCGCAGCGGUGGUCACAUCGACUGGGAGUUGAAGGACACGUUUCACACAUAUGUCAGCCGAGGAUUGCCCGUGCUCAUCACCUUUUUUGACGGAUUUGACGGGGAUCAUGCAGGAGACUGUGCGACAUCAGCCUUGCUUCGCCAGACGUAUUCCCCGGCGUUCCGGAAGUGGCUGAGCGGAGGGAGGGUACUUCGCAGGCCCGAGCAAGAGCUCGUUCGUGACAUGCGGCCGCAUUUGGGACCUGAAGAUCAUGCUACCGGCCCAGUGUGAUUUAGACGGCAUCACGUUAUCGGAUGAAUUCAAACAGUGGAUAGACUUGAAGCAUACAUUCUGCGAAUCCGACUACUUCCCACGGAGCUUGAAGACAUGCUCGCACGAUUGAACCUUCCACUGCAAGGACGUCUACACUCGGGCAUCGACGAUGUGAAGAAUAUGGUUUCGAUAAUACAAGCUUUGAGAAAUACGUAUAAUACACAAUUUAAAAUUACUUCAUCGUUAAUGACUUCCACAUUAAAUUUGGGCACCAAGCAGGAACAUGAAAGGGAACAUGAAAGAAAGAACACGUGAGAAUUAAUUAAAAAA